CAGUUAUUGAGAGCUAGCCACUGCUCAAACUGCUUUUUAUGGCUCUCUUGAUUCAUCUUCACAGUGAUCCUGGGAGGCAGGUACCACGAAUGCAUCCAUUUGGAGAAACUGAGGAACAGGGAAAUGAAGUAACUUACCUGAGGUCCACCCAGCUAGAGAGAAGAGGGCAGGUGCUGUCUGAGGUAAGGCUGAAGGAUGGCAUGAGCUCUACCCAGGAGCUCAGCUGUGGAGCUGGAAUCACAAUGGUCAGUCCAGAGGAGGUAAGCAGCGGACGCCAGAACCUUUCAGGAAUCUGGAGAUCAAAUCAUCGGUGACAGAGUUAAAGGAUGAUAGAGCGCAAAGGGAAAAAAGCAGAGGAGAAAAAGACUCACCCACUCCACCUCCUUCCUAAUCCUCAGUGGCCUGGGAUCACCUGAAUGAGAAUACUUAAUAGCCAACAAAGACAAUUAAUGACUUUU